CCCUUAGAUGUUCUGGGCUGCACGCGCGCUACACUGAUGCACUCAACGAGUUUACGACCUUGCCCGAUAGGGUUGGGUAAUCUUUUUAAAAUGCAUCGUGAUGGGGAUAGAUUAUUGCAAUUAUUAAUCUUCAACGAGGAAUUCCUAGUAAGCGCGAGUCAUCAGCUCGUGCUGAUUACGUCCCUGCCCUUUGUACACACCGCCCGUCGCUCCUACCGAUUGAGUGCUUAGGUGAAUAAUUCGGACUGCAGCAAUGUUUGGAUCCCGAACGUUGCAGCGGAAAGUUUAGUGAACCUUAUCACUUAGAGGAAGGAGAAGUCGUAACA
rnacentral:rRNA from 1 species